ensembl:snRNA U2 U2 spliceosomal RNA
AUCACUUCUAGGACUUUGGUUAAGAUCAAGUGUGGUGUCUGUUCUUAUCUGUUUAAUAUCCAGUGCAUCCUUUGUCCCAGGAUAAUAUAGUAAGUAGAUUUUUGGAGCAGGGAGAUGGAAUAGGAGCUUGCUCCAUCUACUCCACACAUUGACCUGGUAUUGCAGUACCCCAGGAAUGAUGCACUUCCU